rfam:Mesocricetus auratus contig070219, whole genome shotgun sequence.
AUGAUGCUCAUUUCAGCAUCAUAUAUACUAUACUUGUAACAAUUCACAGAAGAUUAACAGGGCCUCUGUACAAAGUUAAAACACCAGUUUAUAAAGUAUUUCAUAAUUCU